rnacentral:rRNA from 1 species
CAAGUCGAACGAACUCUGGUAUUGAUUGGUGCUUGCAUCAUGAUUUACAUUUGAGUGAGUGGCGAACUGGUGAGUAACACGUGGGAAACCUGCCCAGAAGCGGGGGAUAACACCUGGAAACAGAUGCUAAUACCGCAUAACAACUUGGACCGCAUGGUCCGAGUUUGAAAGAUGGCUUCGGCUAUCACUUUUGGAUGGUCCCGCGGCGUAUUAGCUAGAUGGUGGGGUAACGGCUCACCAUGGCAAUGAUACGUAGCCGACCUGAGAGGGUAAUCGGCCACAUUGGGACUGAGACACGGCCCAAACUCCUACGGGAGGCAGCAGUAGGGAAUCUUCCACAAUGGACGAAAGUCUGAUGGAGCAACGCCGCGUGAGUGAAGAAGGGUUUCGGCUCGUAAAACUCUGUUGUUAAAGAAGAACAUAUCUGAGAGUAACUGUUCAGGUAUUGACGGUAUUUAACCAGAAAGCCACGGCUAACUACGUGCCAGCAGCCGCGGUAAUACGUAGGUGGCAAGCGUUGUCCGGAUUUAUUGGGCGUAAAGCGAGCGCAGGCGGUUUUUUAAGUCUGAUGUGAAAGCCUUCGGCUCAACCGAAGAAGUGCAUCGGAAACUGGGAAACUUGAGUGCAGAAGAGGACAGUGGAACUCCAUGUGUAGCGGUGAAAUGCGUAGAUAUAUGGAAGAACACCAGUGGCGAAGGCGGCUGUCUGGUCUGUAACUGACGCUGAGGCUCGAAAGUAUGGGUAGCAAACAGGAUUAGAUACCCUGGUAGUCCAUACCGUAAACGAUGAAUGCUAAGUGUUGGAGGGUUUCCGCCCUUCAGUGCUGCAGCUAACGCAUUAAGCAUUCCGCCUGGGGAGUACGGCCGCAAGGCUGAAACUCAAAGGAAUUGACGGGGGCCCGCACAAGCGGUGGAGCAUGUGGUUUAAUUCGAAGCUACGCGAAGAACCUUACCAGGUCUUGACAUACUAUGCAAAUCUAAGAGAUUAGACGUUCCCUUCGGGGACAUGGAUACAGGUGGUGCAUGGUUGUCGUCAGCUCGUGUCGUGAGAUGUUGGGUUAAGUCCCGCAACGAGCGCAACCCUUAUUAUCAGUUGCCAGCAUUAAGUUGGGCACUCUGGUGAGACUGCCGGUGACAAACCGGAGGAAGGUGGGGAUGACGUCAAAUCAUCAUGCCCCUUAUGACCUGGGCUACACACGUGCUACAAUGGAUGGUACAACGAGUUGCGAACUCGCGAGAGUAAGCUAAUCUCUUAAAGCCAUUCUCAGUUCGGAUUGUAGGCUGCAACUCGCCUACAUGAAGUCGGAAUCGCUAGUAAUCGCGGAUCAGCAUGCCGCGGUGAAUACGUUCCCGGGCCUUGUACACACCGCCCGUCACACCAUGAGAGUUUGUAACACCCAAAGUCGGUGGGGUAACCUUUUAGGAAC